UGGACAUCUGCCAUGACUCGGGUCUUAAAACAGUUUGACAAUUACUCUGGGAGGGAGCCAGGGCACUCCUAGCAUCAUAAUUACAGUGAGUGUAAGUUUGUGCUCGAAGGGAAUUGAUAAACUACUGCCAAAUUUUGAAUGUUUAUGCUUGUCAGUGUGGUUGCAAACUUCCAAUCAAUGUAAAAAGCUUGAUAAAGUUUGUAUUUAGAUUUGUAGAUUCAGCCUGGAUCCAGUCGGGGACAUAAAUGGAGAUGUUGAUCUGCCAUCUCCCAGUGGCAUUUUAGUCAACUGGAUGAAUCCUUCAUUUUUAGAUUUGAAUUUUUUUUGUCUGAGACAAUGAAGAUCUUUAUUUACAUUUCCUGGUUUGAAGGUAA